rnacentral:rRNA from 1 species
UACGAAGGGGGCUAGCGUUGCUCGGAAUUACUGGGCGUAAAGCGCACGUAGGCGGCUUUCUAAGUCGGGGGUGAAAUCCUGGAGCUCAACUCCAGAACUGCCUUCGAUACUGGAGAGCUUGAGUCCGGGAGAGGUGAGUGGAACUGCGAGUGUAGAGGUGAAAUUCGUAGAUAUUCGCAAGAACACCAGUGGCGAAGGCGGCUCACUGGCCCGGAACUGACGCUGAGACGCGAAAGCGUGGGGAGCAAACAGG